rnacentral:rRNA from 1 species
GAUGAACGCUAGCGGCAGGCCUAACACAUGCAAGUCGAGGGAGAGGUUACCUUCGGGUAACCAAAACCGGCGCACGGGUGCGUAACGCGUAUACAAUCUGCCUUUCACAUAGGGAUAGCCCGCAGAAAUUUGGAUUAAUACCUACUGGUAUAUAAGAGCGGCAUCGUUUUUAUAUUAAAGCUACGGUGGUGAAAGAUGAGUAUGCGUUCUAUUAGCUAGUUGGAGAGGUAACGGCUCCUUAAGGCGACGAUAGAUAGGGGUUCUGAGAGGGAUGUCCCCCACACUGGUACUGAGAUACGGACCAGACUCCUACGGGAGGCAGCAGUGAGGAAGAUUGGACAAUGGUCGGAAGACUGAUCCAGGCAUGCCGCGUGCAGGAUGAAGGUCCUAUGGAUUGUAAACUGCUGUUGUAAGGGAAGAAUAAGGAGUACGUGUACUUUGAUGACGGUACCGUACGAAUAAGCAUCGGCUAACUCCGUG